GAGUAAUAUAUCGGAACGUGCCCAGUAAUGGGGAAUAACUAGCCGAAAGGUUAGCUAAUACCGCAUACGACCUACGGGUGAAAGCAGGGGAUCUUAGGACCUUGCGUUAUUGGAGCGGCCGAUAUCUGAUUAGCUUGUUGGUGGGGUAAAAGCCUACCAAGGCAACGAUCAGUAGCUGGUCUGAGAGGACGAUCAGCCACACUGGAACUGAGACACGGUCCAGACUCCUACGGGAGGCAGCAGUGGGGAAUUUUGGACAAUGGGGGAAACCCUGAUCCAGCCAUCCCGCGUGAGUGAAGAAGGCCUUCGGGUUGUAAAGCUCUUUCGAAAGUGAAGAAAACUUAUUUCGUAAUAUGUUAUGAGUAUGACGGUAACUUUAGAAGAAGCACCGGCUAACUACGUGCCAGCAGCCGCGGUAAUACGUAGGGUGCGAGCGUUAAUCGGAAUUACUGGGCGUAAAGCGUGCGCAGGCGGUUUUGUAAGUCAGAUGUGAAAUCCCCGAGCUUAACUUGGGAACUGCGUUUGAAACUACAAGACUAGAGUGUGUCAGAGGGGGGUAGAAUUCCACGUGUAGCAGUGAAAUGCGUAGAGAUGUGGAGGAAUACCAAUGGCGAAGGCAGCCCCCUGGGAUAACACUGACGCUCAUGCACGAAAGCGUGGGGAGCGAACAGGAUUAGAUACCCUGGUAGUCCACGCCCUAAACGAUGUCAACUAGUUGUUGGUGGAGUAAGAUCCAUGAGUAACGUAGCUAACGCGUGAAGUUGACCGCCUGGGGAGUACGGUCGCAAGAUUAAAACUCAAAGGAAUUGACGGGGCCCGCACAAGCGGUGGAUUAUGUGGAUUAAUUCGAUGCCACGCGAA
rnacentral:rRNA from 1 species